rnacentral:lncRNA from 1 species
AGAUCACCAGCCAAAGGAAUGAAGAUAAACUUUCUGUGUUUCGAAGACUUGUCUGCACAGCUGUGUUCAGGCACACAUGGAAUUCUGCUUGCCUAGCCAUUGUCAGGCGCGAAGAUUUGCCUGUUCUUCUUGAAAACAUCAGAUGCCGUCCAAUGAUUAACACUCUUCAAAGGUUGCAAACACCGAAUUCUCAAAAUGAUGCGUCACGGACGUUUGCCGCCUGCGUUCUCCGUGUUGUAUGGAAUGACGCGCUGUGGAGCAUAAUAUGCAACUGUGCCUACUUCACAAGCCUCAUCGUCAGAAUACCGAUC